AGACUACCCUGGUAGUCCACGACCGUAAACGAUGAGUGCUAGAUGUAGGGAGCUAUAAGUUCUCUGUAUCGCAGCUAACGCAAUAAGCACUCCGCCGUGGGAGUACGACCGACGAGGUUAGAACUACGAAAGGUAAUGAGGGGCCCGCACAAGCGGUGGAGCAUGUGGUUUAAUUCGAAGCAACGCGAAGAACCUUACCAGGUCUUGACAUACUCGUGCUAUUCCUAGAGAUAGGAAGUUCCUUCGGGACACGGGAUACAGGUGG
rnacentral:rRNA from 1 species